AGAAACUGGAGGGGGAGGAAAGGGCUGAUCUCAAGGAGCUGAAGAGCCACAAGUCCUUCUCCUGUGGGUGGCACACAUUAUUCAGGAUCAGAACUCACAUGCUUGGCCUUCUAUCAGGCCACUUUUUCAUCUGUUCCACUGUCUCCAGUGAUCUUUUAAAAUCUUAUCAAAAGGGUUCAUGAUUCUCAGAGAAAGAGCCUCAGCAGAAGGAGCUGAAGCAGCUGGGGGGAUGCAGUGUCUGAAGGGAUGUAAUAAAUGCAUUUCUUUCCCUACAGCACUUCCUCUGGAAUUGCUGAAAGCAAGCUGGCACUGAAAUUAGGGGUGGUCUUUUGGGAGUCAACUUUCCAUCAUGUUUCUCUUGUCUUCUUUCAGGCUAUUGAGAAAUGGAAUGUAGACAAGAAUCUUGAGGAGCUAGAGCAGCAGGGAGAUAAAACUCGUGCAGAAGUUGCUUUCUUCCCAGCAGAUUAUGAGUCCUUCAGGAGGAAGUGUGAAGAGGAGCUCAUGGAAAGGCUGGGAGAUCUGUGUGCCAGGCAGACCAGGGCAGUGUCCCCUCCCUGUGAGAGGCCACCAGCCAAGCUCUGCUCCUUCCAGGGACAGCAGGACAAUAAGGAUGUUGCCUUGCCCUCAUCCCCACCAAGUUCUCUGAGGAUGGGCAGGAUGAGUUUCCAGGACGUGCCAAAACGUGCAACUGUGUACAUAGAUUUGAGAGAUGCUGAGCCACCAAAGCCAGUGACAGUCCCUGAAGAGAAACAAAGUGCAAGUGACAGCUCCUCCUCCUCCUCUGAAGAAGAAGAAGAAGAGACUGUGACAAUUCAGGAUGAAGCAGGAAGGAGAAUGAGGAAUUGCUCAGGGAAGAGCCUGUUACUGCAACAACUCCGAGCAGCCCGGAAGGAGGCCUUGGGGCUUCUUCACAAAACAUCUCUUCCAGCUGAGAAACUGCAGCCAGAAAGGCUGGAAGACACAGCUUCCUCUAAUAAAAGUCAAACCCAAUCUUGUAAAGUGAGGCAAGAGACAAAUGAGGUGGUUCCCAGGAAACUGAUGAGAUUGGAACCAGGCAAGGAAAGUCUCCCCUUUUCAAGCUGUGGGGGUGACAGAGCUGACACAGAGAAAGAGAAGAAAAUGGAAGCUGAGAAGAUUCCAAGUGCAGGAAAUGCUCCAGAGUGUCCUCUAAUUACAGCAGAAUUGCCAAGGUAUCCCACAGGAAAACUAAUCAGAGGGUUUGGAUGUGGCUUCUCUAAUUGCCCAGGAUUAAAGAAAAUUGCUUACCUGGGCUGUGAGCUGGAGCAAGAGGGUGUCUGGAUUUGUUACCUGGCAAGAACAACAGUCCUGGCAGCUGCUGCUGGAAGGUUUAGAGGCAGCCUCAGCAGGGCCUGGCAUUAGAUGAGCUGUGGCACUCCUGACAUUGGAAAUGGAGCCUUUUUCUAUAGCUUUUAUCCUACAGAAGAAGAGGAUAACACAGUAUUGAUCUCCCUUAGGAACAACAGCACUGAGGUUUCCUAAGCACAACUUCCUAGAAAAUAGGUCUGGAAGGGUCAGUCUCCCUGUGCCAAUAAAGAGUGAGGUAAAAUGUAAUAUCUCCUGGCA
rnacentral:lncRNA from 1 species